UUAAAAAUGGUCUUUUCGAUAUAUUAAAGAGUGGAACGAUACAGAAAAGAUUAGCAUGGCCUCUACGCAAGGAUGACACGCUCAUAAAUGUGAGUGUGUUUAUAUAC